UAAACAGAGACCAAGUGAAAAGGGACCCU
rnacentral:piRNA from 1 species